GGCUGGUCCGAUGGUAGUGGGUUAUCAGAACUUAUUAACAAUGUCUUUUAAAAGGAAAAAGUGGGGGGAGGACCUUAACUCCAUACUCUUUCCCUCCACUCACUGUGAAACUUUGGAUCAUGUGACCUUUU
ensembl:misc_RNA Y_RNA Y RNA